rnacentral:rRNA from 1 species
GACCCUCGGGGGCGGCUUACACAUGCAGUCGAGCGGAACGAUGGUAACUUGCUACCAGGCGUCGAGCGGCGGACGGGUGAGUAAUACUUAGGAAUCUACCUAGUAGUGGGGGAUAGCUCGGGAAACUCGAAUUAAUACCGCAUACGACCUACGGGAGAAAGGGGGCAACUUGUUGCUCUCGCUAUUAGAUGAGCCUAAGUCGGAUUAGCUAGAUGGUGGGGUAAAGGCCUACCAUGGCGACGAUCUGUAGCUGGUCUGAGAGGAUGAUCAGCCACACCGGGACUGAGACACGGCCCGGACUCCUACGGGAGGCAGCAGUGGGGAAUAUUGGACAAUGGGAGAAACCCUGAUCCAGCCAUGCCGCGUGUGUGAAGAAGGCCUUUUGGUUGUAAAGCACUUUAAGCAGUGAAGAAGACUCCUCGGUUAAUACCCGUGGACGAUGACAUUAGCUGCAGAAUAAGCACCGGCUAACUCUGUGCCAGCAGCCGCGGUAAUACAGAGGGUGCAAGCGUUAAUCGGAAUUACUGGGCGUAAAGCGAGCGUAGGUGGCUUGGUAAGUCAGAUGUGAAAUCCCCGGGCUUAACCUGGGAACUGCAUCUGAAACUGUUAGGCUAGAGUAGGUGAGAGGAAGGUAGAAUUCCAGGUGUAGCGGUGAAAUGCGUAGAGAUCUGGAGGAAUACCGAUGGCGAAGGCAGCCUUCUGGCAUCAUACUGACACUGAGGCUCGAAAGCGUGGGUAGCAAACAGGAUUAGAUACCCUGGUAGUCCACGCCGUAAACGAUGUCUACUAGUCGUUGGGUCCCUUGAGGACUUAGCGACGCAGCUAACGCAAUAAGUAGACCGCCUGGGGAGUACGGCCGCAAGGUUAAAACUCAAAUGAAUUGACGGGGGCCCGCACAAGCGGUGAGCAUGUGGUUUAUUCGAUGCAACGCGAAGAACCUUACCUGGUCUUGACAUAUCUAGAAUCCUG